rnacentral:tRNA from 1 species
GAGGGUAUAGCCCAGUGGUAGAGCACAUGCUUAUGUAUAAGGUCCUGGGUUCAAUCCCCAGUGCCUCCA